rnacentral:lncRNA from 1 species
CACGACGCAAGAAAGCCAAAGGAAGAAGAGAAAGUGAAGCUAUGGUUUUUUUUUUUUGGACAGAGGUGGCUGAUUGGUUUUGUUCCCGACAGGAGCGUCUUCACACGUCAGAUUGGCAUAAACAGUUUAUAUCGAGCCGAUAGCUAAUUGGCCUACGGGGCAUCGCAGACCAACGUGCUUCCACAGCCCAAGCCCAGAUAGCCGAAGUUAAAGCCCACGCGUGGGUUCAGUUGGCUAAAAUGCCGAAUAAACUAUCUUUUGUCCCCAUUCUUUUUCUUGUUUCCGUCUCAUUUUUACGUUAUUUUUUUUUGACUAGUUUGUUCAGAGAUGUUGCAUAGUAUGGCGUCCCAGUGCCACUCUUUUUGUAAAUUUUUUAAAUGUAACUCUAUUUUUUGUUGUAAAGAUAAAAAAUAAAUAGUAAAAACAGUAUUAUGGGUCUUCAAAACAUAGACCAUUGCUUAAUAAAUAAAUAUAAAUAUUUUAAUCCUUAAGUUGUUGAUGUAAUUUGAUUUGAAAAAAAAAUAUAUUAGAAUUACAUAAAUCAGUUGAUGGCCUAACUAAUCAAAAUAUAAACUAAAAUCUUGAUAUGUUUGUCAUCAAAUCUAAUCAAAUUAAAUGUUUCUCCAAAUUAUCCGCAUAUACCGGUGUAAAUCUCUAAGUGUUCAUAUAACAAAUCUCAACGCAGGCUAACAUGUGGAAAUCGAGAGAGAUCUCAUUCAUACUUCGUACUCAUCAAUAGAGAAACCAAUUAUUGACAGGACUAACCAC